UACGAAGGGGGCUAGCGUUGUUCGGAAUUACUGGGCGUAAAGCGCGCGCAGGCGGUCUUCCAAGUCAGUGGUGAAAGCCUGGAGCUCAACUCCAGAACUGCCAUUGAAACUGUUAGACUUGAGUACGAGAGAGGUGAGUGGAAUUCCCAGUGUAGAGGUGAAAUUCGUAGAUAUUGGGAAGAACACCAGUGGCGAAGGCGGCUCACUGGCUCGUAACUGACGCUCAGGCGCGACAGCGUGGGGAGCGAACAGG
rnacentral:rRNA from 1 species